rnacentral:rRNA from 1 species
CGGGGGUGGAUUAGUGGCGAACGGGUGAGUAACACGUGGGUAACCUGCCCUUGGCUUUGGGAUAAGCCCUGGAAACGGGGUCUAAUACCGGAUAUGACUGAUCCUCGCAUGGGGGUUGGUGGAAAGUUCCGGCGGCCAGGGAUGGGCCCGCGGCCUAUCAGCUUGUUGGUGGGGUGAUGGCCUACCAAGGCGACGACGGGUAGCCGGCCUGAGAGGGCGACCGGCCACACUGGGACUGAGACACGGCCCAGACUCCUACGGGAGGCAGCAGUGGGGAAUAUUGCACAAUGGGCGAAAGCCUGAUGCAGCGACGCCGCGUGAGGGAUGACGGCCUUCGGGUUGUAAACCUCUUUCGACAGGGACGAAGCGAGAGUGACGGUACCUGUAGAAGAAGCACCGGCUAACUACGUGCCAGCAGCCGCGGUAAUACGUAGGGUGCGAGCGUUGUCCGGAAUUAUUGGGCGUAAAGAGCUCGUAGGCGGUUUGUCGCGUCGACUGUGAAAACCUGGGGCUUAACUCUGGGCCUGCAGUCGAUACGGGCAGACUUGAGUUCGGUAGGGGAGACUGGAAUUCCUGGUGUAGCGGUGAAAUGCGCAGAUAUCAGGAGGAACACCGGUGGCGAAGGCGGGUCUCUGGGCCGAUACUGACGCUGAGGAGCGAAAGCGUGGGGAGCGAACAGGAUUAGAUACCCUGGUAGUCCACGCUGUAAACGUUGGGCGCUAGGUGUGGGGAGCAUUCAUGUUUUCCGUGCCGUAGCUAACGCAUUAAGC